GACGAACGCUGGCGGCGUGCUUAACACAUGCAAGUCGAACGAAGUGGCGAACGGGUGAGUAAUACGUGAGUAACUGCCCUCCUUUUUGGGAUAAGCCUUGGAAACGGGGUCUAAUACCGAAGGGGGAUGGGCUCGCGGCCUAUCAGCUUGUUGGUGGGGUGAUGGGCUACCAAGGCGGGGCCGGGUAGCCGGCACGAGAGGGGACCGGCCAAAUGGGGCUGGGGUACGGCCCAAAGUCAUACGGGAGGCAGCAGUGGGGAAUAUGGCACAAUGGGGGCAACCAUGAUGCAGCAACGCCGCGUGCGGGAUGACGGCCUUCGGGUUGUAAACCGCUUUCAGCCAGGACGCGUUAGUGGCAGAAGAAGCACCGGCUAACUACGUGCCAGCAGCCGCGGUAAUUC
rnacentral:rRNA from 1 species